CCGCUGCCGCCCCUCGCCGCCCGCCGUCCGUCGCACGUUUCGUUACGGCAGACAGGCGGCGGGGCGCGCUUUCUUGUCGAGUUGCACUGUUUCUCCUUCUCGUAGGGCUUCACUGUACGUGGUCUGCCGUUCUCCGCAAGUGUGUGAUCUCUCUCACCGCCGUCCCGGUCUCCUGGGGCUUCCCCUGCGCCCCGCCGUCGGGAACGCCGAGCUCAGCUCCCGCUCCUCAGGCUGCUCGUUGCAGGCCAUGAGCUCGGGUCGCAGCAGACGAGAGAGUAGCUUUCCGCUUGGGUUGCGAGAGCACCGCGGCAGCGGGGAAGGAAAGGGUUACAGGAAAGCAACCCACUCUUUUCUCCUGGCAGAACUAACCGUGCGGCUGCUUACUCCUAGCUCCUCAGUAAGGACUUCGAUCUUCCCUAGGGAAAACCGGUGCUGAUAGCUCAACUAGAGAUAGAUCCUGUUAUAGAGGAAGGCGAAAAGGAAUCGGCCCCCAGCAUGACGCUCUGCUGAGACCCUGUGCACCUCAAGACAUCCUGCCUGCCCCUGAAAGUCUUCCUGCUAAGACUACAAGUCCUGGAGAUACACAGAUUGUCCAGAGGAGCCAGGGACAAGCUCAGAGAUGUCUGCCUCCUUUCAACAGAAGCCUGGGAGAAAUCAAGUCUCAGUGGCCAAUGGGACAAAGUUCCACCUGCUUUGAGUACUGCCUGAGUUACAAUUCUGUGGUGAAUGAGCCUGAUAUUGCUUGGCUUCAUGACCGAAGACUCAGAAGUGCUUCUGGCUAAAAAUUGUAACUCCAACUGAAACUGGAAAAUAAAAAUAUGAGAAUAACAGUAAGGAAACCUGUCUGCAAAUGCUAGUUCCUGCACCAGGACUCCCAAAGAAAGCCUGUGGUCUUGUACUUGUUGAAAAUGGGACACAAUAGCAAGAGCAUAGGCUGAAGGUGUGCCCUGACUAGUGAUAUUAAUUAUCUUCUUCUGGCCUGCCAAGAUCAACAGUACCUCAUGAAGAAUUUGGGGGCACAAAACACCUGCAGCUCUAAACAUCCUCACAAAAAGAAGCUCUUAAAUAUUGAUUUCACCUUGAGAGAGUUCUGAGAAGACUGAAACCGGAGACCUCCAUACCCAAAAAGCAUCUUCCAAGUUAGUCAUUGCAUUUUGCAAAGGAAGAGCAGUUUGAGAAGGCAAGACUACAUUUCUUGCAUUAUGAAGACAGCUGGCAGCUGCCUUUGUAGGGUAUUAAUACAUGGAAACAAACCUUGCUCAAAUUUGGACUUUAUUUCUCCAGGAAAUAUCAA